GGAGGUCCGGCGGAGCGUCGUCUUUGCCUCCCUGGCGUGUAAUUGUGACUGCAAAAUUUCAUCGCAAAAAGAGUCAUAGCAAAAUUCCAUCGCUGCAGAGGCUUUGUGGAAAGCAAAAAGAUACAAGGAAAACCCUCUUACCAUGUGGGAUUUUGAGAGCAGUCCUUAAUGCAACCUUGGGACACGCUGGCAGUGACAAGUCUUCGUGCCUGGAUAUUUUGGCUGCAGGGGAAGAUCCACACAGGCCGUGUGGCAACAUUUUGAAAGACAAGAGCUCCAGAGCCUGCCAGCUUUUAAUGCAUCUCUGGAUAUGUGGGUGA
rnacentral:lncRNA from 1 species